rnacentral:rRNA from 1 species
GCAAACGAGCGCUUACACGGGUCCUUCGGGGGUCGCGGGGAUGCGUGCAUUUAUCAGACCAAAACCACCGGGACGGGCUCCNNGCCCCGGCCGCUUUGUGACUCUAAUAACUCGGCCGAUGCGCCUCCGCGGCGGCGACGACUCAUUCUAAU